UGCAGCUUUCACGUUUGAAAAUCAGGACACGAAAGCCACAUUCAUUGCUGAAGCUUGUUUCCUGUGGAAAGUGUCUCUCAACUAAGUCUCCGAGAUGAUACAAAGAACAGAAUUUUGGAUGGCUUGGAAGGAUAGAUCGUGCCACCUCAUUUGCAUUAUUAAUGUGUAGAGAGGUUCCUACUGUUUACUAGGUUUGGUCUUUGGUGAGGAGAUUCGAUCAACCACAGAAAUACAAGCCAUUUAUCAGUAGGUGCAUCAAGAUAAUUGGAGGGGAUCACAGACUUAGGAUUUGAAGCUAUGGAGGAAGAACCAUAUGGGACCCCAGAAGAGGAUCAGGAUGCCAC